rnacentral:rRNA from 1 species
GACAGAGGGGGCAAGCGUUGCUCGGAAUUACUGGGCGUAAAGGGCGCGUAGGCGGAAUGGCAAGUCGGUCGUGAAAUCCUUCGGCUCAACCGAAGAACGUCGAUCGAAACUGCCGUUCUUGAGGAUUGCAGAGGAGACUGGAAUUCCCGGUGUAGCGGUGAAAUGCGUAGAGAUCGGGAGGAACACCGGUGGCGAAGGCGGGUCUCUGGGCAAUUCCUGACGCUGAGGCGCGAAAGCGUGGGGAGCAAACGGG